rnacentral:rRNA from 1 species
GAUGAACGCUGGCGGCGUGCCUAACACAUGCAAGUCGAACGAUGAAACCGCCCUCGGGCGGACAUGAAGUGGCGAACGGGUGAGUAACACGUGACCGACCUGCCCCCCGCCCAGGGACAGCCCCCCGAAAGGGGGAUUAAUACCUGGUACUCCGGGAGCGGCGCAUGCCGCAUCCGGGAAAGCUCUCGCGGCGGGGGAUGGGGUCGCGGCCCAUCAGGUAGACGGCGGGGUAGAGGCCCACCGUGCCGACGACGGGUAGCCGGGUUGAGAGACCGACCGGCCACAUUGGGACUGAGAUACGGCCCAGACUCCUACGGGAGGCAGCAGUGGGGAAUUUUGCGCAAUGGGGGCAACCCUGACGCAGCAACGCCGCGUGCGGGACGAAGGCGUCCGCGUCGUAAACCGCUUUCAGCGGGGAACACCUAACGAGGGUACCCGCAGAAGAAGCCCCGGCUAAAUACGUG